ACAGCAAAUCCAUCUUUCAUAAAGCUUAUUGGCUUUCCCGGUUAUUUCUUUGAUGGCGAAAUAAACGACCCCAAGGUCCUCCAGACCGUCAAGGAGAAUUUCAUUUCUUUGGCAACCAAACCUUAUAUUCAUCCGUCUUUUUGCAAAGAUAAACCGGACCAGUGCAGCGUUGAUACACUUAAGGUGUACCACGUAUAGAGCCGCUAAGGUUCACAAGAAACCGGGUAAUUUUAUGAACAUGUCUCCAUGUACAUGUCAAUAAAGAUAAACAUUAUGUUG